GUUGUUGUCCUUUAUACUGAACCUUUUGCCUUCAACAUAAAACUGCUGGGGUCCAACACCUGUGGGUUUCUUCCUGGGUUUGAGCGAAGCAUAAUUUGGCACAGGUUUGUAGAUGACUUUCUUUACAGUCCCUGCCUCAUAUUGCUGCUUCAGUUCUGAUAUGCUGUCAAAAUACUGAUCAUUAUAGAGCACUUUAAUCACACGCCAGGAUGAGAAAUUGGUGCUUUGGUGGUCUAUUAAAAUUUCAAAGCUCAGUGGAUAGAUGUAAAAGCCCUCCUCAUUUCUGCAGAGCGCAAUCCAUGACUGUCUGUCCCCUGAUUUGACCCCUCUUGGCAUGUUCUCAUAGUAAACGCUGUACGAUGACGGUGUUAAACCAAAGCUUUCAUACAUUAGCGUACUUACUGGCUCAAGUACAUUUACCAGGAACGUAUCCAUAAGAGUAUAUUCCUCAGAUGUAACUGGACGUGCAGUCAGAGGGAUCUCUCUCUUGUACCUCUCAACAGUGACAUCGCGGUGGUAGGUUGGGUUGGGAAGAGGACCAACUACAUAUUCCUUGAUGUUGUUUUGACUGCCGUGAAAAACCACAGCAGUUGCCUCUCUUGCUGGUUUCUGACCAUUUGCAUCAAGGUAGUGCAAAACCUCCUGUUUCUUCGGCAUGGAGAGUUCAAUCAUGUACAGGUAGUCAGCUGAAGGAGGAGAAGAUGGAUCAAAUGAGAUGUUCAUCCCGUUGAUCUUAGACAUGAAGUCACGCACCUGCAGAAUCUCUUCUUCAGAGAGGUCGGCAAAGACGACGCUGCGCUCAUUGUGGAUCACAGUUCGGUCAGAGUUUACCUGAUGAGCAGGGCACGGUGGAGUGCGUUGAGCGUUAAGCCAUAUCAAAACAGAGUUACUUAUCAGCAAAGUAACAACUGCAAAAAUCAGGAGGCAGUUAAGAAGUGUACAAAUAGUUUUACAGAUCAUUUCUUCGUAGAGGCGCAACAGGUGUGGAGAGAAAAAGAAAGCUGUGAUGACAGACAGUAAAUGGGUGAGGCUGCUGGUUUCAAAGGCUACGUUGGGAGUGCACGUGUAAAGCACAAGUGGAGUGCGUGUGUGUGGAUGAGAUAACUGAAAGGGGGGGGGGCGUUAAACAGUAAGAGAGGAUAUGUGACUUCAUUCUGUACUUUUAAAAAACAGAACAACUAAAGUGGUGAAAUUAAUCACUUAACGGCAGAGUUGUGUGAACAGGUAUGCCCACAUGAUAACAGUAGUAGUAAACAUUACUCAGAGAUUAAAUUUUGAUGUCUUAAAUGCUCUGACAAUAACAUAACUAAAAAACACUUCAAGCAAUGUCGGUAUGUUUUGCUGUGUAAGUUUUUGACUAGUCUAUGCAUGAAACCUGCACAUGAUAGUUUGUACAUUUAGAACAAUACUGCCCCACAAAGGCGAAGUGCAGUAGCAGCACCUUUGCUUAGAAUUAGGUUCAGACUUCUGUUUAAUCAUCUGACAAACUUUCCUGGUUCUAUUAUGUUUAGUUUCAGAAAAAAAUGGGUGUCAGUUCAAGCCCAGAAAGGAGGAAACACUGACAACUCAUGGAGAGCAGAGACAUGAGACAGAGAUGUGGCACAUGAGGAUGAUCUAGGAUAGGAAGCACAGGCGGACUGGGAGUCAAUGGACCUGAGCAAGAGACAGCUGUGAGUAUCAAGAUUAAACAGGUUGCACAAGACAUGAAAAAUAUAAACAACUGGAGACAACAGACAGAACGUUUGUUAGCAAUAAGCAAGCUGUGCUCUAUCCACCAAUCAUAGAUUAAAUGGAGCCCCGCUACAUUAUACAUCUACAUUCACCCUCUAAUAUAUGAUUCAUGAGUUCUUUAGACUCAUACACUGACCCUCAAGGAAAACAUAAAUCAACUAAAUGUAUCUUAAUGUAGAAAAUAGGGAAUAUGUGUUCAGAUUUUGUGCCAUCAACAAUUUGCAUUACAAGGAAUGAUUAUUCUACUCUAAUUUUCAGUGAAUCUAUAAAGGUGGAAACCAGGAGAAAUAUCUUAAAUAGAUAAAAAAUAAAUUAAUAAAACUAGCAGAAAAUCUUGACCAACAUGAUGGCUAAACAAACACUGACUAUAAUGACAAUAAAAACUAAGUCUAACUGCCUUAAUCUUGACUAAAACAAUGAAUAAGCUAAAUUGUAAGAGUAACGUUGCUUUAUGCAUUGUAUCUAAAAUGCAGGCUGUAUGAAAUAUUUCGGAGAUCUUUCGCCGCUGUCUCAAGUGUUACAGAGAAACAAGUUAGAGAGUUUUUUUCUUUUCUAUUUGUAGUUUUAUUCAAGCUUUAGAUGCAGCCAAACAAAAUCAAAUGACAGACAUAAAAUGAGGCCUGCUCUAUUACGGCGAGUGUCUGUCUUCUUCUGUAGUCAAACCUAAGAUAUCAAAAUCUACCCGGAUACAGCAAUGCUGCUUUUUGAUUGGCUGUUCAGUAGAUAUACUUUAUUUGAUUGGCUUGCGCGUGGCACGCAGCUUCUGAACUCUCGGAGGAACUCAGUUGAUUCCUUUCUGUUCCAUAGUUAAAGAGGUGCAACUUGGUGGACAUCACCAUGUUCAUUUAAAUGCGUGAGAAAUACAAUGUGUGGCGUGUGAGCGUGUGAACGGGUGGGAAUGCGUGUGUCACACGCUGAAUGUGUGAGACUUGAGAGCCCUGCACUAGUGGGGUCUGCCACAACCCAGAGCGGUGGUCCUUAUGACUCUUUUCGCGGCCUUCACACAGGCUUCUCUUAAGUUUCACUUUUCAUUUCACACAUAGUUACUCUCUUCGUCAGAACACAGAAUAUCACAAGAUGUACCAGUACAAUAUCAUGAGCCUCGUAAUAAAUUUAGGAUUCAGUAUAUACAGAGUUAAAGAGAUCUUUGAUUUAGAGUAACACGGAUAGGCAGAAAUUCUGUUAAAAAGGUUUUCUGCUUACCUUAUUUUGUGGUCGACCAGAUCUCUUUUCCUCUGAUGCACUGAACAGUUUUCUCGAAUUCAAAAGCUCUGUCAGAACUCCAUCCCAGACGAGCCCCCAAAAUUGUUGAAGUUAUUCCAAACCUCCCCCGAGUCCAUUGAUGGAGACUGGGACAGAGGAUUCAAUGAGGCAAAAAGGUGUCUUCAACAAACCUUUUAUUUCGGCACAGCAAAUAACACAAGAUAUCUUGGAGAGCACAACAUCAACCCAAUGGUAUCUCUGAGGUGGUCUGAUUACUAUUUUUCAGUAGUUAUUAUUUAUUUAUGAUUAUAAAGCACACUUUUUAAUAAAUGACUGUUAUGAUUAUAAUACACACUUCAAAUAAAUGACUGUUAAGGCCGAACAGUUUAAAACCAUACUUACCAACCCUUGGCACUUCUAGGCAUAAGCUAAAAUCCUUCUAUACUGAAAGUCUCUCUUCUAUACAUUGUGACACAGUGGUCAAUUGCCCCCGUGUUAGCAUUAAACCUUCUUAUCUGACUCAUCAGUACAUGUCCGCAAUGAGCACACAAAAUAAUGUAAACACAAUAAGAAAACAGUUAAUUACCUGAAACAAUGAUUAAAUGAUUGUCAUCAAUGAUUAAAUGAUUAGCAUGAACAUUUGAUGGUUAAAUAAUUAGCAUGAACCUGUGAGUUCCCACACAGCAUUAUCGGGCAUCCUGCUUAUGAGUCUGUGAAGUUAUCAUUCGAAACCAUGGUAGGUGAAGGGAUCCAUCACUGGGCUGCAAGUUUCCUGAGAAAGGCAGGCCAUCUUAUUGUUGUCACAGCUUUCCUCUGUGCCUGAAACAAAGUAGACUCCGUCUGCAGAGUGGAUGGACGGAUCCUCAUCAAAGUAGUUGUGUGGACGCAGCAGAACCCCGCCCCCGUUGCCGACUGUUACUGUGUUGGGGAUGUCCUCAGCAUGGGGGAUGUGGAGGAAACCAGUGGUCACCCAGGCAACCAGGUCCUAAAAAGAAACAAGGAAAAGUUAAAGGUGUGUGUUUUGUUAUAAUUUAGGGAGAUUAAAUAAUGUGAACACAAACCUCAUUUUCAAUGCUCUCAUUAUCGUCUAUGUACUUGCUGAAAUCAACAACUGGAUCCCAGAUCUCAUGCUGAUUGUACAGACUGCUGCUGCUCUGUUCCAGGUCCUUGUGCUUAGUUAUGGCAACUUUAUACCUGCCAGAAGAUAAACUUAUAUCAGACUUCAGUUGUCUUUGCGCUGCGGAAAAACUAUAAAUCGAAAAGGAGCAGGAUUCUGGAUCAGGAAACAUUUGAACCUGUUUCUUACCUGGCCCAGGACAUGGCCUUCUCCUCUGCCUGGCUCUGUGGAAGGUGGUCUGCAGUGUUGCUGGACACUUGUAGCCUGUAGGAGCGCUGAUGCCCCCAACGGUUGGUCUUCUUGCUUGCAAUAUGAAGGUAUCGUGGGGUCUUGGUGUCAUGAGGCAGUGCUGCUUCCUGUUUUGAGUCAUACACAAUAGUUAUAUCCUCUUUGACGUCAGUAGAGGCCGUUAUUGAUUUUUUAGAUUUCUGGCCAACAACAGGCCAAAGAAAUUUCACAUCUAUUUGAAAACCUGAACAUAUUUUCAUGACAUGAAUGUCUCGCUCCAUCAGUGUGUCAUCUAUCAUGUCUGCAGGAUCUGAUGCUUUGCUCUCAGACACAUCCAUUAUAGAAAUAAUUCUUCACCUGCUCUGUUUGAAGCUGUUUCUCCACCAGCUGAGGGAUCAUGGCGUAGCGUUCAGGCAUCCAGGGCAGCGAGUCCUUUACAAACUCCAUGUCUUUGGUCUGGAAAAAGUUCUUCACUCCUGGGACAUCAAACAUUUCAUUUUAGGUUAAGCAAUUAUGUCUAAUAUUACUUCUAUUUGUACUUUAUCUUUUUGUUAAAGUUUUAAUAAUGUUUAUUAUAUUUACUUUUUUUUCACAACACAUAUUUAAAUACCAUUGUUAUCUUCUCCAGGUCCUUACCUAAAACAUCAAGAUCCACCUUGAAGUUGAGGAAGUGAGUGUGGAUGUUUCCAGUGACGUUUUCCGCUACUUGAUGACCAAAUUUAAAGUUAUCAUUAACUUUGAAGGAUGAUGCAAUGUAGCCUGUGGCGUGCACUUUAGCCUCCACUGAGCCACUUUGGUAGAAAAUGAAAUCCCAAACAUAAUCGUAGUUCUCAAUAACUGUGAUUGUCCUGAACACCAAGGCGUUAUUGGCCAGUCCUCCAUAACUUUUGUAGACUAUCUUAGAGAAGUGCCUCCGCAGUGGUUGGCCAAAGUUGUGUUCAAAAACACAAAUUGAGUUUCUGAUCCGGCGUGGAACUCCAGAGUCCAUAAAAUGCAUUGUGUCUAUGUAGGUGGCUGAAUAGGGGCAGUCUACCCCUUUGACCAGCUCGUAGGCAUACGCACCCAUGCUCAGACUGCCAUCAAGAAACUUGGUGAACAUUAAAACUGGGGUAGAAGAUCCAUAGACUGACAUGGCCUCCUGAACACUCAGCUCAUAGAUGAUCCUUUCACCUCUAAAUUGUACAUCAAACACUCUCACGCCUCUAAGGGUGCUCAUACCAAAGGCAAAACUCCAGUCCAAGUACACGAUGUUGUUGUCCUUUAUACUGAACCUUUUGCCUUGAACAUAAAACUGCUGGGGUCCAACACCUGUGGGUUUCUUCCUGGGUUUGAGCGAAGCAUAAUUUUUCACAGGUUUGUAGACGAUUUUCUUUACAGUCCCUGCCUCAUAUUGCUGCUUCAGUUCUGAUAUGCUGUCAAAAUACUGAUCAUUAUAGAACACUUUAAUCACACGCCAGUUUAAGGAAUUGGUGCUUUGGUGGUCUAUUAAAAUUUCAAAGCUCAGUGGAUGGAUGUAAAAGCCCUCCUCUUUUCUGCCGGGCGCAAUCCAUGACUGUCUGUCCCCUGAUUUGACCCCUCUUGGCAUGUUAUCAUAGUAAAUGUGGGAUGAUGACGGUGCUAAACCAAAGCUUUCGUUCAUGAGCGUACUUACUGGCUCAGUUUCAUUUUUCAGGAACGUUUCCAUAAGAGUAUAUUCCUUAAAUAUAACUGGACGUGCAGUCAGAGGGAUCUCUCUCUUGUACCUCUCAGCAGUGACAUCUCGGUGGUAGGUUGGGUUGGGAAGAGGACCAACUACAUAUUCCUUGAUGUUGUUUUGACUGCCGUGAAAAACCACAGCAGUUGCCUCUCUUGCUGGUUUCUGCCCGUUUGCAUCAAGGUAGUGCAAAACCUCCUGUUUCUUCGGCAUGGAGAGUUCAAUCAUAAACAGAUAGUCAGCUGAAGGAAGAGAAUAUUCAUCUGAUGCGAUGUUCAUCCCGAUGAUCUUAAACAUGAAGUCACGCACCUGCAGAAUCUCCUCUUCAGAGAGGUCGGCAAAGACGACGCUGCGCUCAUUGUGGAUCACAGGUCGGUCAGAGUUUACCUGAUGAGCAGGACACGGCGGAGUGCACUGAUUGUUACGCCCCAUCAAAACAAAGUUAAUUAUCAGCGAAAUAACAAAUGCAAAAAUCAGGAGGCAGUUACAAAGUGUGCAAUUAGUUUCACAGGCCAUUUCUUCGUAGAUGGCAACAGGUGUCGUGGAGAGAAAACGAAAGCUGUGUUGACAGACAGGUGAUGGGUGAGGCUGCUGGUUUUACAGGUUACGUUGAAAAGGGGGGGGCGUUAAACAGUAAGAGAAGAUAUGUGACUUCCUUCUGUACCUCUAAAAACAGAACAACUAAAGUGGUGAAAUUAAUCACUUAAUGGCAGAGUUGUGUGAACAGGAAAGCCUAAAUGAUAACAGUAGUAGUAAACAUUACUCAAAGAUAAAAUUUUGAUGUCUUAAAUGCUCUGACAAAAACAUAACUAAAAAACACUUAAAGCAAUGUAGGUAUGUUUUGCUGUGUAAGUUUUUGACUAGUCUAUGCAUGAAACCUGCACAUGAUAGUUUGUACAUUUUGAACAAUACUGCCCCACAAAGGCGAAAUGCAGUAGCAGCACCUUUGGUUAAAAUGAGGUUCAGACUUCUGUUUAAUCAUCUGACAAACUUUCCUGGUUCUAUUAUGUUCGGUUUCAGAAAAAAAUGGGUGUCAGUUCAAGCCCAGAAAGGAGGAAACACUGACAACUCAUGGAGAGCAGAAACAUGAGACAGAGAUGUGGCACAUGAGGAUGAUCUAGGAUAGGAAGCACAGGCGGACUGGGAGUCAAUGGACCUGAGCAAGAGACAGCUGUGAGUAUCAAAAUUAAACAGGUUGCACAAGACAUGAAACAUAUAAACAACUGGAGACAACAGACAGAACGUGUGUUAGCAAUAGGCAAGCUGUGCUCUAUCCACCAAUCAUAGAUUAAAUGGAGCCCUGCUACAUAAUACAUCUACAUUCACCCUCUGAUAUAUGAUUCAUGAUUUCUUUAGAUUCAUAUACAGACCCUCAAGGAAAACAUAAAUCAACUAAAUGUAACUUAAUGUAGAAAAUAGGGAAUAUGUGUUCAGAUUUUGUGCCAUCAACAAUUUGCAUUACAAGGAAUAAUUAUUCUACUCUAAUUUUCAGUGAAUACAUAAAGGUGGAAACCAGGAGAAAUAUCUUAAAAAGAUAAAUAAUAAAUAAAUAAAACUAGCAUAAAACUAAGAAAAUCUUGAUCGACAUGAUGGCUAAACAAACACUGACUAUAAUGACACUAAAAACUAAGUCUAACUGCCUUAAUCUUGACCAACACAACACGAAACUCUCAGACUUCAGAUUUCUCAAAAUGACUAAGCUAAAUUAUAAGAGUAACGUUGCUUUAUCCAUUGUAUCUAAUAUGCAGGCUGUAUGAAAUAUUUCGCCGCUGUUUCAAGUGUCACAGAGAAACAAGUUAGAGAGUUUUUUUCUUUUCUAUUUGUAGUUUUAUUCAAGCUUUUGAUGCAGCCAAACAAAAUCAAAUCACAGACAUAAAAUGAGACCAUGGCAGCGUUAUCUGGCAUCCUGCUUAUGAGUCUGUGAAGUUUUCAUUUGAAACCAUGGUAGGUGAAGGGAUCCAUCACUGGGCUGCAAGUUUCCUGAGAAAGGCAGGCCAUCUUAUUGUUAUCACAGCUUUCCUCUGUGCCAGGAGCAAAGUAGACUCCGUCUGCAGAGUGGAUGGAUGGAUCCUCGUUAAAGUAGUUGUGUGGACGCAGCAGAACCCCGCCCCCGUUGCCGACUGUUACUGUGUUGGGGAUGUCCUCAGCAUGGGGGAUGUGGAGGAAACCAGUGGUCACCCAGGCAACCAGGUCCUAAAAAGAAAUGAGGAAGGAAUGGGAGGUACGUGUUAACCCUUUGAUCAAUUUCUAUUAUUUCUAGAAGUUCACGAUGUCAACACACACACCUCAUUUUCAAUGCUUUCAUUAUCUUCAAUGAACUUGCUGAAGUCAACAGCUGGAUUCCAGAUGUCAUGCUGAUUGUACAGACUGCCAACACUCUGCUCCAUGUCCUUGUGUUUAGUAAUGGCAACCCUAUACCUAAAGGAAGAAGAGUUACUUCAGACUCCAGGAAGAGGGAAGAAAUGGGCGAUAAGGGGAUGACUCAAAAUCAGUGGUGUGGAGAAACAGGAUGAAGAUUGGUUAUAAAGACUUUUGUCGAUGCUGUUUCUUACCUGGCCCAGGACAUGGCCUUCUCCUCUGCCUGGCUCUGUGGGAGGUGAUCUCCAGUGAAGCUGAACACCUGCAACCUGUAGGAGCGCUGAUGACCCCAGCGGUUGGUUUGGUUGCUUGCAAUGUGAAGGUAUCGAGGAAUCUUGGCUUCAGGACUGAGUGCGGCUUCCUGUGAGGGUCAAAAUGAUCCCUAUCUCAAAGGUACUUCUAGCCAGGGGUUAGGUCCAGUAUCACAUUAUGACAUUAUAAGUUCAUAUACUGAACAAUACAGCAUGGAUUUUGUGUCUGAUAGAAAUGUUUAAUUAUCAGACACAUAAAAGGGCAAGCAAGUGUAAAGACAAGGGCUGCCACCUCAUAGUCAUCGACUAUUUAGGCUAUUUAUGCAUCUAUGUUUAAGGCUUUGUGUUGUACAACUUGUUUUUGAUUAUUGUACAUGUUGCAUAGUCCCUAUGAAUGCUGCCCAUCUCUCCCAAUAGACAACUUUUUGGGUAAGGUGGCACGUCCGUCCUAUAAGGUCACAAAAUGUUACCAAAAUGACAAAUAAGUUGCAAAUAAAUUCUGGCACAAGAGUGGAAACAGUUGUCUCUACCUCUGCUGGUAAACAUACAGGUAUUUAUGAGAUGUUAGUAACAGUGUUUGGUGUUUAAAGUAGUACUGCACCUGCUCUGUUUGAAGCUGUUUCUCCACCAGCUGAGGGAUCAUGGCGUAGCGUUCAGGCAUCCAGGGCAGCGAGACAUUUACAAACUCCAUGUCUUUGGUCUGGAAAACGUUCUUCACUCCUGUGGUAAGGACAUACUACAUAUGACUCUAUCUAGACCUGCAUAUUUCCAAGUGUCCAUGACUUUUCAGCUUUUUAAGGUUUUAUGUUGAUAAAUGUUUGAUAUUGAGUACAAUUGUAAAAAAAUCAAGGUGAAGAAUGGUAUGUGUACAAUUUUGAUAUUUUCCACGGUUUUCAGUUUCACUUACCUGAAACAUCAAGAUCCACCUUAAAGUUGAGGAAGUGAGUGUGGAUGUUUCCAGUGACAUUCUCCGCUACUUGAUGACCAAAUUUAAAGUUAUCAUUAACUUUGAAGGAUGAUGCAAUGUAGCCUGAGGCGUGCACUUUAGCCUCCACUGAGCCACUCUGGUAGAAAAUGAAAUCCCAAACAUAAUCGUAGUUCUCAAUAACUGUGAUUGUCCUGAACACCAAGGCGUUAUUGGCCAGUCCUCCAUAACUGUUGUAGACUAUCUCAGAGAAGUGCCUCCGCAGUGGUUGGCCAAAGUCGUGUUCAAAAACACAAACUGAGUUUCUGAUCCGGCGUGGAACUCCAGAGUCCACAAAAUGGACUGUGUCUAUGUAGGUGGCUGAAUAGGGGCAGUCUACCCCUUUGACCAGCUCGUAGGCACAUGCACCCAUCCUCAGACUGCCAUCAAGGAACUUGGUGAGCAUUAAAUCUGGGGUAGAAGAUCCAUAGACUGACAUGGCCUCCUGAACACUCAGCUCAUAGAUGAUCCUUUCACCUCUAAAUUGUACAUCAAACACUCUCAUGCCUCUAAGGGUGCUCAUACCAAAGGCAAAACUCCAGUCCAAGUAUACGAUGUUGUUGUCCUUUAUACUGAACCUUUUGCCUUGAACAUAAAACUGCUGGGGUCCAACGCCUAUGGGUUUCUUCCUGGGUUUGAGAGAGGCAUAGUUUGGCACAGGUUUGUAGACGAUCUUGUUUACAGUCCCUGCCUCAUAUUGCUGCUUUAGUUCUGCUAAACUGUCAAAGUACUGAUCAUUAUAGAGCACUUUAAUCACACGCCAGGAUGAGAAAUUGGUGCUUUGGUGGUCUAUUAAAAUUUGGAAGCCGACUGGAUGGAUGUAAAAUCCCUCCUCAUCACGACAGUAUGAAACCCAUGACUGUCUGUCUCCUGACUUGACCCCUCUGGGCAUGCCGUCAUAGUAAGCAAUAUUUGAUGGAAUCAUGCCAAAGCUUUCUUUUAAGAGCGCACUUACUGGUUUAAGCAUGUCUCUCAGAAGCAUAUCUAUGAGCAUGUAUUCCCCUCCAGAAACUGGACGCGCAGUCAGAGGGAUCUCUCUCUUGUACCUCUCAACAGUGACAUCUCGGUGGUAGGUUGGGUUGGGAAGAGGACCAACUACAUAUUCCUUGAUGUUGUUUUGACCACCGUGAAACACCACAGCAGUUGCCUCUCUUGCUGGUUUCUGACCAUUUGCAUCAAGGUAGUGCAAAACCUCCUGUUUCUUCGGCAUGGAGAGUUCAAUCAUGUACAGGUAGUCAGCUGAAGGAGGAGAAGAUGGAUCAAAUGAGAUGUUCAUCCCGUUGAUCUUAGACAUGUAGUCACGCACCUGCAGAAUUUCCUCCUGUGUGAGAUCAGCAAAGACGACGCUGCGCUCAUUGUGGAUCACAGGUCGGUCAGAGUUUACCUGAUGAGCGGGGCACGGUGGAGUGCGCUGAGUGUUAAGCCAUAUCAAAACAGAGGUACUUACAACCAAAGCAAUGACUGCAGGAAUCAGAAGACAUUUGAGGACGUUGACAAAAGUUUUACAGGCCAUUUUGCUACAAAUGAACAGCAGUCAUAGUUGAUAAAAAGAAAUGUGAAGGUAGGGGGAAAGUUACUCAUUUUAAAGACUCCUUUUACAACCUGGGGGUGUCACUUUUGAUAAGAGUUACAGUAACUGUAUAGUAUCUCAUAAAAAAAUCCUGGCAUGAAUAUUGAGUAACUUAUAAAGAACUGUUUCAUGUUUUAUUACAUUAAAUUCUUAUGAGGCCAUGAAUUUGGAUUGUACUUUUGCAAUUUGGUCUUUUUUUUAUUUAGAAACAUAGUCAUUAAUACCCAGAGUUUAUUCCUGAUAUGUUACCUAACACCUCAUCCACUGUUCUAAAUACAAUACAUUAAUGUUUGCAAUGUUUUACACAAUUUCCACAACUUUAUUAGAGAUUGUUCAUGUUACAAACACUUAGAUCAGCCGACUUUUCUUUUUUAUUUCAUUUUAAUCCUCAAGUCGAAGCUGACACUGAAAUUCAAAUUGCUCUCUAAGUCUGCCAUAUGGACCAGUUAACAUGUGAAAAGUUAAAAUUUGCUAUAAGGUCAAUUAUUCUGGUGGAAUCAGACAACUUCAGUGGCAGACUCAGGGUGUCCGAGGGUCAAAGGUGGGGAUG